GUGACUGAAAAUGAUGAAUUCAAGUGAACGAGUGAGAUAAGAUGGCAAAGAAAUUGAGGCACGCACAUAUUCCUUGAAAUGGCUUCUGAUUUGUGUUGGAACCGGGUGUCUGCUCCAUCGUGCGCCCAAUAAAUAGUAGCUGCGGUAAUAACGGUCUCGGCAUGCUAGCGAUGGGGAGCGAGAUGGUGCAGCUGCUGUGGAAAUGGUUUGGUCGUUUCUCAUGAAGUUCAGCAUCGACCCCAUGACCCAGUAAUUCCACACCGAUGUGCAUGCCCAUGAGAAACGAAAACAGAGCCACACUGAAACCUGCACCCAGAUGUCGACAGCAGUAUCAUUCGCAAUAAGCCCAAAGCAGAAACCACCCAAAUGUCCAACAGCAGAUGAAUGGAUUAAACGGAUGAUGGCAUAUACACACAAGGGACAAUCAUUCAGCCAUAAGAAGGAAGGAAUUCUGGUACCCGCUACAACGUGGCUCAAACAUCUCCAAUGGUCUGUAUCGUUACUACCCAAAGCAAGAUUUGUGGACCGGCAGCACUGGCAUCACCUGGGAACUUGUUAGAAAUGCAGAAUCUCAGGCUCCAUCCCAGACUACUGAGUCAGAAUCUGCAUUUUAACAACAUCCCUGGGGGCUCCGUGUGCACAUCGAAGUAGGAGGAGGUGUGGAAGUUUGGUUGACAUGAGACUGAGAAAUGAACCCAGCAUGUAUUCUUCCGUAACCGACUUCUCUGAAGAUGCCAUCUUUAUUUCCCAAGUUUUCCGUGUACUGCAGCCAAUCCCAUGCCCUUUCCACUCUGACACGGGCCUGGAAUUCCAGAAUGCUAGUUCCAGAUCAGGGCCCAGAGUCCAUUUCUUUGCCUGGGAAGAAGUUUGAGAAGCCUUCAGAACAUGCCAUGGGCAUUCAUUCACACUUGUUUGUCUUUGGCCCAUGCUUUCAAAGUCUAGCAGAAGCCGUGCAACUUGCCUGAAGCUAGAGACAUCAAAAGUAUCAAGGCCACACUGUACCCUCCUUCCUCCAGACUCUGAGAUCCCGUGUCCGUACAUAUGAUUGGGACACUAACCCUGUAAAUCUUUGCACUGUGGUGGCAACUGGUCUAUAAGUGUACUAAGAACUAACACCAUGGUUUUCUUAUUUAACUUGAACUUUGAAAUAAUUUUAGACUGACAGAAAAGUUGUCAAAAUAGUAAGAGGAGUGCUCCCUUAUGCCCCUCACCCAGCUUCUCCUAAUGCUAACAUCUUCCUUAACCAGGUACAUAAUGAUCAAACGUGGGAAAUGAGCUUCAGCACAAUAUUCUUAACGAAACUCCAGACCUUCUCAAGAGAGAUUUCCCCACUUUUCCCACGUGUGUUCUUUUCUCGUUUGAGGAUCCAAUCUGAGGUCCCGCCUCAGUGUAGUUGUCAAGUCUCCUUCCUCUACUCCAGGCUGGGAAACGUUCUUCCAUCUUUCCUUCUCUCUCUCGUACUUGACACUUUUGAACAUUGCUGGUCAGUUAUUUUGUAGAAGGUUCUUCAAUUUAAGUUUGAUGUUUUCUCAAGGCUAGAUAGAGGUUUUGCAUUUUUGGCAAAAAUAAAAGUAAAAGUGAUGUUGUGUUCUUCUCAUUUGUAUCAGGGAACAUGAUAUCGAUAUUUCUUAUUACUGGUGAUCUUAGCCCUGAUCACCUCAUUAAGAUGGUGUCUGCUGAGUUU